UUGUAGUCUGCAACCCGACUACAUGAAGCUGGAAUCGCUAGUAAUCGCGAAUCAGAAUGUCGCGGUGAAUACGUUCCCGGGUCUUGUACACACCGCCCGUCACACCAUGGGAGUUGGAAAUGCCCGAAGCCGGUGACCGAACCUUAGGGACGGAGCCGUCGAAGGUGGAGCCAAUGACUGGGGUGAAGUCGUAACAAGGUACC
rnacentral:rRNA from 1 species